GUCUUGGGCUGUCCAUCUGGGGGUCCCACUUUGGUUGAGGAGCUGCAGAGGAAGAUGUGUUUCUGUGGCCCGGGAACUGGAGCUUCCUCCUCUUCCAGAGAGAUCAGCUAGGUGGCAUGUUCACUGAACUCAAUGGCAGGGACAGAGAAGAUGCCAUGGCCAUUGUUAUGAAGGGGGCCCUCCUUUUCCAUUAAAGGAUUAGUGAUGGGCCAUCAGAGAAGCACUUGUCAGGUACUGAAUUCUUUCCACUUAACCUUAUGUAAGUCAGGCUUUCCUGUAACACACAGGCCGACCCAGCCGGGGUAGAAGGUGGCAGGAAGGAAGGAGGCCCCCUGAGUAUUGUGUUUACAGGGGUAUCUGCACUUACACCUGCAACCACACCCUCACAGAUUCCACAGCAGGAGGGUGGGGAGCAGGGUGGUUAAGAGACAAGAGAGCAGAGAGAUACUGUUAUUAUCUCCAAAUUUUGCCCCAAACUAUGAGAUUUUCAAGUGGCCCUGGGGGUCUAUUUUCCCCACCCCAUUCCACUCCCAGGCCUAAUACAUUAAGAUGAAUGACCGCGCUUCUUCACAGUUCACAAAAUGCUCUGUUUAACAUCAUCCUACUUGGUCCUAAAAAAUGUCCUGUGACCUGGUUGUGAUUGAUACCUUUAUUUUAUUUCAUUAUUUUUUAUUUAUAAUGAUUUGUUUUUCAUUAUAGCUGGUUUACAGUCUUCUGUCAAUUUUCUGCUGUACAGCAGGCAACCCAGUUCCACAUACAUGUUUGCAUUCUUUGUUACCUUUAUUUUACAGAUGAGGAAACUGAGGCUUAGAGUGGCUCAGGUGACAGACUUAGUGACAGAGUGAGACUUCUGACUCCUUGGACCAUGUUCUUACUCUAUGCUGUUUAUUUUAUUUUUUUGUCUUUUUAAGGCCACACCCAUGGCAUAUGGAGGUUCCCAGGCUGGGGUCGAAUUGGAGCUGUAGCUGCUGGCCUACACCACAGCCACAGCAAUGUCAGAUCCCAGCCUCGCCUGUGACCCUCACCACAGCUCACAGCAACAUCUGAGUGAGGCCAGGGUUCAAACCUGUGUCCUCAUGAAUACUAGUCAGAUUCUUUUCCGCUGAGCCAUGACGGGAACUCCGGUGCUGUUUAUUUUUUCACUAAGAUCUUGGCAGUUCCCAGAGUGGUGCUCAGAAGGCAUGCAACCACCACCUGCCCCCUGGGUUGGCACCUGGCCCUUUCCCACCAAGGCAGAAUGGGAGCAGAGGAAGAGGGAUUGCAUCCCAGCCGUCCCCAGCUGCAGGGAAGUGAUGGAUCUGAAAGGAAAUAUCCAGAGGGUGGCCUUCCUGCCACCUGAGCAAGGCGGGGGCCGUGGGAGCCGCGUCCCGGAGCAGCAGACCUCUGUGCAUUUGUUGUGUGUACCUUCCGCCCAGUAUCCCUCGGUGCCCCUGAAUAUGCUGUUUUCUCUGGUGAGUCCAGAGAGGGAGCUCUCAGGAAUCAUUUCACUGUCAUUUAAAACAAUCGUUUAAAAGAAAUGCUUCACAAUUUGGUGAAGAGGAGUUCCCGUCAUGGCUCAGUGGUUAAUGAAUCCAACUAGGAACCAUGAGGUUUCGGGUUCCAUCCCUGGCCUUGCUCAGUGGGUUAAGGAUCUGGCAUUGCUGUGAGCUGUGGCGUAGGUGGAGACAGGGCUUGGAUCCCGUGCUGCUGUGGCUGUUGCAGCAGCUACAGCUCUGAUUAGACCUCUAGCCUGGGAACCUCCAUAUGCCGUGGGUGUGGCCCUAAGAAGACAAAAG
rnacentral:lncRNA from 1 species